CUGACGAAGGGAGUUUGCUAGCAGGCACCUCACUGGAAGAAAUACCUGAAUAUGAAGAGAACAAAAAAAUUUUAAAAACAGAAGGAAACAGAAUGUAAUAUUUUAGAGGUGCUUUUCUGCUCAACUGCUGAAGAGGCAUGAAGAGCACUGCAUUAAGUAGCGCAAGCCUAAUGACAGAGACUUAUAGGAGCUCAUUUAGUCAUGCUGCAUAUCAUUCAAAGAUCAUUAUAUGUUUUCAAGUCCAACAGAAAUCAUCAAAAUGUCAAGCUGAAAUUCAGCACUCUGCAAAUGCUGACCAAAGUCCUGCCCGAGGAGCAGCGGAUGCAGUAGAUUGUGCUGACUCAGUGAAGUCAUAGGUCUUGAGUAUCUUCAGCACCUCUGUUGUUUGAACUGGGUGGCCUCCCUUGAUGAACUCAAAGCAUUGUGAAAAAUCAAGCUUGUCCCUCAUCCCUGAUCUGUGACUCCACAGUGUCUAUGCAUAUGCCUGAAUCUUGAUAUCUUUGCAGGAUGUCAGUUCACAGCAAGUUAGAUGUGCUCUAGUCAUCUAAGAAGGCACCCCCAACAAAGAUGGAAGCAUGGGUAUUGAAAGUUACAUAUGGAGAGGAGUGCAUUAGCAGGAUACAGCCUAGUCACAAUCUCCUUUCCACAAACCCCUUUCCAUUGACUGUGUUUCCAUUUCUUCCACUGGUCAACUGGAUUUUCCCCUUCACUUGCUGUGAAAGAA
rnacentral:lncRNA from 1 species